CCAAAUAGAGGUGAAUUUUUGUUAAUAAUUUUACUGGGUUCUCCCUUCUUCUAUAAGUUUAAAUCUAGCUAAAAAUAUAAACUUUAUUUAAUGUAUAUGAAAUCAUAGAAUUAAUCAAAAGAUACUUAGUACAAAAAUUUUUAUUAACUAGUUAAUCUAGUAAAAGUAAAUAAAUGAUCCAUUAGGUGCCAGCAUUCGCGGUUACACCUAUAUUUGUUAUAUUAUUCACGGACUAGGACCUGAUACCAAACAUCAAAAACUUUAGAGGUAAAAUUCUGCUUGUUUUUUAAAAAACUUUAACACCUUAUAAAUUAACCCAUAAACAGGGAUUAGAUACCCCUCUAUACAACAUAAGCCACACCUAGGGUAGUAGAUGUUAUACAACUUUAAACCCAAAGAAUUUGGCGGCAAUCAACCUUUCCAGAGAGACCUGUUUAUUUAUUUGAUAAUCCACACUAAAUCUUACUUUUACUAAAACUUGCAUACCGUCAUCUAAAUUUUAUCCUAAGAUAAAUAUUUUAAAGGUAACAAAAAUGUUAGAUCAACGCGCAGUAAAUAUAAAAGCUCAUAAUGGGUCUCAAUUUAAACUAAAUAGAAAAGACUUUAAUAAACUUCAUAAAGAGGAUUUGGCCGUAAUACUUUUUUAAAAAAAUAAUAUGAAUAAGCCAUUGAUUGUGUACAUAUCGCCCGUCGCCCUCGAUCCGAGGUAAGUCGUAACAUAGUAGAAGUACUAGAAAGUGUUUCUUUAUUUAU
rnacentral:rRNA from 1 species